rnacentral:miRNA from 1 species
CAGGAAGCCCAGUUAAAUUUGAAUUUCAUAUAAACAGUGGAUAUUUUUAGUGUAAGUGUGUCCCAUGUAAUAUUUGGGACAUAUUUAUACUAAAGUAUCUUUCAUUGUUCAUCUAAAAUCCACAUUUAACUGACCUUUCUGU